GGGAAAGGAAGCAAUUGUUGCUGGUUUCUAUCAUGGAGGCUAUGAAGAACCAUUGUUAAUGCUUAUGAGAAGAAGGGGUGUGCAUGCUGGUUUGGUUGUCAAGGCAUUGAUUUCAUGUAAUCUCUGUAUAUGUUUGCAUCUUUAGGGCGAGGAAGGUGCACUUUCAAUGACGACAAGGUUGCGGUCAGCAAAUGCAUCAAAAGGACUUCCUGUAAAUUAUUGCUCAGGGUUUCGCUCAGUGAAUUUGGCACCUGCUUGUGCAGUUGAUG
rnacentral:misc_RNA from 1 species